UGAAACAGAACAGAAAAAAAAAGAAAAGAAAAGAAGAUAAAGAGAGUGUAAAGAAGAAGAGAGAAAUUGUAUUAGAUCAAUAGGACUGAAUCAAUAAUAGUGGAUUGUCAAUACAAUAAUCUCAGGAGUCUAAAAUGGAGAAAAGAAAUACAAGAGCUAACAGAAAUCUUGAUUCCAAAGAAACCAAGCCAAGAGCUACAGCUCUCCAACAGAAUAAUCUGUCCAAAAACUAUUUGCCCAAAAAAUGCUCAGCCCUCUCCUCACUUGCCUUCUUGUACUGGUGUGAUACCCUCAUCAUAACUGAUUGUGACAGGUGUUACAUUCUCAUUCCUUGAAUUAUUCCCCUGUUUUCUUGGAUCACUCACCAAAUUAGCAGCAGCCUUUGGCCUUCUUGAGUAAACCUUAAAGGGCCUGGGCUCAUUUCUAUCAAUACUUCCCCCUGAAUUAACAGCCUUGUCCUCAAGGUUGUAGUAUGGAAAUUGCCCAAUAAAGUCAGAUGCGUCCAUCCAAGUGGAUUCUUCGACCGGACGGCCUGUCCACUGAACAAGGAAUUGCUUGACGUUGGUAUCAUCUUUCUUGACGGAGCGAGUCUGUAAUAUGGCAACAGGUUCUACUAUAGGCUCUCCAACAUCUUGCAGCUGAUUGGUAUCAUCUUUCUUGACGGAGCGAGUCUGUAAUAUGGCAAUAGGUUCUACUAUAGGCUCUCCAACAUCUUGCAGCUGUUCGGGCAGUUCGGUGACCAACCUGUGCUCCCCCACGACCUUUUUCAACUGAGAUACAUGGAAGACUGGGUGUAUUCGAGAGGAAGAGGGCAGGAGCAGCUUGUACGCUACGGCACCCACUUUAGCAACAACCUCGAAGGGGCCGUAAUAGCGUGCUGCAAGUUUAGCAUUAAACCGUGCGGUUACUGACUGUUGCCUGUAGGGUCUGAUUUUGAGGAAUACUUUGUCACCCACCUGAAAUUGCACAUCGCGCCUAUGACGGUUGGAGUACUUAGUCAUCAAGUGCUGAGCCUUGGUAAGGUUGAAUUUCAACUGGCGGAUGAUUUCGUCCCGGUCCUGAAGUUGAAUUGACACUUCCUCUACCUUUAUUUCCCCUGGCAGGUGUUGAUGAAUGGUGGGGGGUGGACGGCCAUAGACUAUCUCGAAAGGUGUCUUCUUUACUGAACCUUGGAAGCUUGUAUUGUACCAAUAUUCUGCCCAUCCCAACCAUUUUGCCCAGCUUUGUGGCUGCUCGGAGCAGAAGCAGCGGAGGUAAGACUCAACACAUCGGUUUAGAACCUCAGUUUGCCCGUCCGUCUGUGGGUGGUAGGCUGAUGAGAACUUGAGUUGGGUGCCUUGGAGCUUGAAUAAUUCUUUCCAGAAGUUGCUUAAGAAGAGUGGGUCACGAUCACUAACCAUAGUUUUAGGAAAUCCAUGAAGCCGAACAAUUUCUGAAGUGAACAAUUCAGCCACUCGCUUAGCAGUGAAAGGAUGCUUCAAUUUCAAAAAGUGACCAUACUUGGAUAAUCUGUCCACAACCACUAAAAUACAAUCAGCCCCAUGAGAUCGUGGUAAGCCAGUGAUAAAAUCUAGGGCGAUUUCCUCCCAAAUCAUAUUAGGAAUGGGUAGUGGCUGUAGCAGCCCAGCAGGGGAUUGAGCCUCGUAUUUCUGUUGCUGACAAACCAAACAAGCAGCCACAAAUUUCUGGAUUUGUCCCAUCAUCCCUGUCUAAUAAAAGCUUGAGGCAAUGCGACGGUAGGUGCGAUAUGCACCGGAAUGCCCACCCGUGGGUGUAGAGUGACAUUCUGAGAUUAUCUGCUCUAACCACUUAGAAGUAGCAGGAAAAACGAGCCUUCCCUUGAAAUAGAGUCUACCAUGGAUGAGACAAUAAUGAGGGUGCUUCUUAGGAUCUUUCCGCAAGUCAGAGGUUAACUGUUGCAGAACCCCAUCGGCCUGAAUUUCUUGGUUGAUUUCUUUCCAAUCUGCCCAUUGAGAGUAUGACAGUGCUUGGAAUUGAGGGCUGUCAGCCUGUCGGGAUAGUGCGUCGGCAACUUUGUUGGAGAUUCCGGGCUUAUAUUCAAUCUGAAAAUUGUAACCCAUUAGUUUGGAAAUCCAAUACUGUUGUGCGGGGGUGGUUACCUGUUGGGAGAGCAAGUGGCCUAGGCUCCGUUGAUCGGUACGAACUAAGAAAUUUCGGCCGAUCAAGUAUGGCCUCCAAUGACGGACAGCUAGGACUAAGGCCAUUAGUUCAUUAUCAUAGGCUGAUCUUCUUGAAGCGGGAUCAAAAGUGCCUUUACUGAAGUAGGCAACGGGUUUGCCUUGCUGCAUUAGGACAGCCCCUAUGCCAGUCCCAGACGCAUCACACUCAACAACAAAGGGCUUAGUGAAGUCGGGCAUAGCAAGUACAGGAGAUGUAGUGACUGCUUGCUUCAGUGUUUCAAAUGAAUCUUGUGCCAGUGAGUUCCAGGAGAACUUUUGUUGAGACUCUUUCUUCAAAAGUAAAGUGAGUGGCCGAGCCAAUUGACCGUAAUUGCGGAUGAACUUCCUAUAGUAUCCUGUGAGUCCCAAGAAUCCCCUGACAACUUUUACAGACGUCGGGGUUGGCCAUCGGAGAAUACUAGUAACCUUUGCUGGAUCCAUGGAAACCCCCUCGCUUGAGAUUAUGUGCCCCAAGUACUCCAUUGAUGACUUGGCCAAGGAACACUUCUUUGGGUUAACAUGUAGUUGAUGCUGUUCUAGAAGGGUAAGAACCAUGGAUAAGUGUUGAAGAUGAGAUUCCCAGUCCUUACUGUAAAUCAGUAUGUCGUCAAAAAAUACUAACACAAAAUGGCGAAGGUGAGGGCGGAAUAUGUCGUUCAUAACAGCUUGGAACGUGGCAGGAGCUUUCAUAAGCCCAAAGGGCAUAACCAAGAACUCGUAGCCUUCAGUGUUUCAAAUGAAUCUUGUGCCAGUGAGGUCCAGGAGAACUUUUGUUGAGACUCUUUCCUCAAAAGUAAAGUGAGUGGCCGAGCCAAUUGACCGGAAUUGCGGAUGAACUUCCUAUAGUAUCCUGUGAGUCCCAAGAAUCCCCUGACGACUUUUACAUACGUCGGGGUUGGCCGUCGGAGAAUACUAGUAACCGUUGCUGGAUCCAUGGAAACCCCCUCGCUUGAGAUUAUGUGCCCCUAGUACUCCAUUGAUGACUUGGCCGAGGAACACUUCUUUGGGUUAACAUGUAGUUGAUGCUGUUCUAGAAGGGUAAGAACCAUGGAUAAGUGUUGAAGAUGAGAUUCCCAGUCCUUACUGUAAAUCAGUAUGUCGUCAAAAAAUACUAACACAAAACGGCGAAGGUGAGGGCAGAAUAUGUCGUUCAUAACAGCUUGGAACGUGGCAGGAGCAUUCAUAAGCCCAAAGGGCAUAACCAAGAACUCGUAGUGUCCUGUGUGUGUUCGAAAAGCUGUCUUGUGAAUGUCAGGCGUCGAAACUCGGAUUUGAAAGAACCCCGAUUUCAAAUCUAGCUUGGUGAAAAAACAGGCGCCAUAAAGUUCAUCUAGCAACUCUUGAACCACUGGAAUUGGAUACUUGUUCGGGACAGUAGCUUUGUUCAAUUGGCGGUAAUCGACGCAAAAACGCCAACUACCAUCUUUCUUGCGCACUAGCAACACCGGGCUGGAGUAAGGACUGUGACUAGGUUGUAUAAUUCCAGCAGAUAACAUCUCAGAUACUAGCUUCUCAAUUUCGUCUUUCUACAAAUGGCCAUACCUAUAUGGUUUAACACAAAUCGGUUCCUGCCCUGUUUUGAGAAUAAUUUGAUGGUCAGCUGGCCGAUGAGGAGGAAGAGAUCGAAUCUCGUCGAAGACAAUCUGGUGUUUCUCUAGUAGCCUGUGCAAUGCCGAUUCUUGUGAAGACGAGAGCUCAUUGGUGUGUAGUGGGGAAAUUUCAGCAUCGACCCCCCAAAGCAAAACAGAGAAGUCUACGUCCAAUAGUUUGCGGAUGGACUUCAGGGAAGAAGGCGUUCUCAUAAGAGACGGGUCACCCACUAGAGAAACGGUCUGUCCGUCAUGAGUAAACUCCAUAGUCAUCUGAGCCCAAUUGCUCCGGAUAUCACCCAAAGUUUCCAGCCAUGCUAUUCCCAGAACGAAAUCAACCCCAUGUAAUGGAAAGAUGAAGAAGUUGCCCACAAUUUCAAAUGAACCAACCCGUACCUGAAGUUGACGACACAUACCCGAGGCAGCUACUCGAUUACCGUUCCCAAGGCGGACAUAAUAGACAGGAGUGGGGGUGACUGUAAGUUUGAGCUCUUUGUGGAGUUGGGACGAGAUAAAAUUGUGUUGCUCCACUAUCCACCAUGAUCACGACCUCCAUAGAGGAGAAAGUACCUUUGAAUUUCAUGGUUUUUGGUUUAUUGCUCCACUAUCCACCAUGAUCAUGACCUCCAUAGAAGAGAAAGUACCUUUGAAUUUCAUGGUUUUUGGUUUAGAGAUGCCGCCAAUUGAGUUAAGAGAAAGCUCUAUAUUGGAGAAGUGAGCUUCAUCCCAGGUGACAGGAGGAUCAGUCUCAACGGUGACAUCCAUUUCGGCCAUCUGGCCUUCAUUCUCUGCGGAGAGGAUCAGUCUCAACGGUGACAUCCAUUUCGGCCAUCUGGCCUUCAUUCUCUGCGGGCUCGUCUUCGCUAGCAAUUAGGGCACGAAGGGCGCGAUUGGGGCAUUCGUGAAGGGGUGAGUAAGGCUGUUUGCACUUAAAGCAAAGGCCCCUGGCUCGGAGAUUUUGGUAUUCUUGGUGGGAGUAGUGGCGGGUGGUUCUUGGAGGAUGAAUGUGGGUGGCUGGUUUUGUAGGUGGUGCGGGUAGAGCUAGAGGGCGUGGUAAGGAAUCUGGUGGUUUGAGGGGUGGGGAUGGAGGUGUUUCACGUUUCUGCAAGGUGAAGGUGUUAGUUGGGUAUUUGGAGUAGCUUGGGCCUGAGGAUUUUGGGCCUAGCCCGAAUUGGGUGGGUAAGUGUUGUUUGGUGGGAGAGAAGUUGAUUUCCCUUUCAAUUUCACGUGCCACCUUCAUCGCGCGACGCAAAUCGACUGUGUCAGGUGAACGCAGACGGAGUCGAAUGUCACAGCGGAGACCAUUGAGGAAAUAUCCUAACAGCUGUGGGUCAGACAAGGAUGGGGCUUGGGCUGCUCGGGAGAUGAACUCGACAAUGAAGGAGGAGACUGUCCCAACCUGUUUGACGGCAGCAAGGAGCUCGUAGGGGUUCUCAGAAUCAUCGCCGCUGAACUGAAUGGCUAAUUCCUCUUUUAACUGGUCCCAAGAGAAAGCAGGCUCGCGCUGCCGAACCCAUCGAAGCCAGUGAAGAGCUUCUCCUUCCAUAGCCACAAGGGCCAAGGGAAUCUUCAUAUCGGGUUCUGAUUGAUGGAGCUCAAAGUAUUGUUCUGCCCGUGCAAUCCAACCUAUCGGGUCAGACCCAUUGAAGGUAGGCAUGUCAACUUUCUUAAUCUGGUCUUGAAUAGAUGUGGGUGUGGAAGGUGUUGUGGCUGGUGGUGUGGGAAUGGUUGUAGUGGGCGCGAUGUUUGGAGGAGGUUGUGGUCGGGAAGAGGUUGGUUUGGGAGAGGAGGAGUCACCGGAUUCUGUUUGGGCCCUGCCGGCAGUGAGAACCGACAUAAGUUGGUCGAACUUGGUUGUGAGAGUGGACAUUUGGUUGGUGAGGGAUGUAAGGUUCUGGGUAUAUUCAGUGUGGAAGGAUGUUUGAGAGUUGUCAAGGGUGGCAAGAUGAGCUUCAAUGGUGGAAAUAUUCCUCUCUAUCUGAUCAAUCCGCGAGUCUUGUCUGGUAUUUGUCAUUGUGGAGAUCGAAGAAAAGGGCAGGUCGAACCAAAUUGAUAGAGUAAGGAACAGUUCCAAUAUCUGUAAAUUAGAUGGCUGAAACAGAACAGGAAAAAAAAAAAAAAAAGAAAAGAAAAGAAGAUAAAGAGAGUGUAAAGAAGAAGAGAGAAAUUGUAUUAGAUCAAUAGGACUGAAUCAAUAAUAGUGGAUUGUCAAUACAAUAAUCUCAGGAGUCUAAAAUGGAGAAAAGAAAUACAAGAGCUAACAGAAAUCUUGAUUCCAAAGAAACCAAGCCAAGAGCUACAGCUCUCCAACAGAAUAAUCUGUCCAAAAACUAUUUGCCCAAAAAAUGCUCAGCCCUCUCCUCACUUGCCUUCUUGUACUGGCGUGAUACCCUCAUCAUAACUGAUUGUGACAGGUGUUACAUUCUCAUUCCUUGAAUUAUUCCCCUGUUUUCUUGGAUCACUCACCAAAUUAGCAGCAGCCUUUGGCCUUCUUGAGUAAACCUUAAAGGGCCUGGGCUCAUUUCUAU
rnacentral:lncRNA from 1 species